rnacentral:rRNA from 1 species
AGCUCCAAUAGCGUAUAUUAAACUUGUUGCGGUUAAAAAGCUCGUAGUUGGAUUUCUGCUGAGGACGACCGGUCCACCCUCUGGGUGAGCAUCUGGCUCGGCCUCGGCAUCUUCUUGGAAAACGCAGCUGCACUUGACUGUGCGGCGCGGUGUCCAGGACUUUUACUUUGAGGAAAUUAGAGUGUUUCAAGCAGGCACACGCCUUGAAUAUAUUAGCAUGGAAUAAUAAGAUAGGAUCUCGGUUCUAUUUUGUUGGUUUCUAGAGCUGAGAUAAUGAUUGAUAGGGACUGUCGGGGGCAUUCGUACAUAACAGUCAGAGGUGAAAUUCUUGGAUUUGUUAUAGACGGACUACUGCGAAAGCAUUUGCCAAGGAUGUUUUCA